rnacentral:rRNA from 1 species
UACCAGGUCUUGACAUCCUUUGACCACUCUGGAGACAGAGCUUUCCCUUCGGGGACAAAGUGACAGGUGGUGCAUGGUUGUCGUCAGCUCGUGUCGUGAGAUGUUGGGUUAAGUCCCGCAACGAGCGCAACCCUUGAUUUUAGUUGCCAGCAUUUAGUUGGGCACUCUAAAGUGACUGCCGGUGCAAGCCGGAGGAAGGUGGGGAUGACGUCAAAUCAUCAUGCCCCUUAUGACCUGGGCUACACACGUGCUACAAUGGAUAGUACAAAGGGUCGCGAAGCCGCGAGGUGGAGCUAAUCCCAUAAAACUAUUCUCAGUUCGGAUUGUAGGCUGCAACUCGCCUACAUGAAGCCGGAAUCGCUAGUAAUCGUGGAUCAGCAUGCCACGGUGAAUACGUUCCCGGGCCUUGUACACACCGCCCGUCACACCACGAGAGUUUGUAACACCCGAAGUCGGUAGGGUAACCUUUAUGGAGCCAGCCGCCGAAGGUGGGACAGAUAAUUGGGGUGAAGUCGUAACAAGGUAGCCGUAUCGGAAGGUGC